GACGAACGCUGGCGGCGUGCCUAAUACAUGCAAGUAGAACGCUGAAGAGAGGAGCUUGCUCUUCUUGGAUGAGUUGCGAACGGGUGAGUAACGCGUAGGUAACCUGCCUGGUAGCGGGGGAUAACUAUUGGAAACGAUAGCUAAUACCGCAUAAAAUUGAUUAUUGCAUGAUAAUUAAUUGAAAGAUGCAACUGCAUCACUACCAGAUGGACCUGCGUUGUAUUAGCUAGUUGGUGAGGUAACGGCUCACCAAGGCGACGAUACAUAGCCGACCUGAGAGGGUGAUCGGCCACACUGGGACUGAGACACGGCCCAGACUCCUACGGGAGGCAGCAGUAGGGAAUCUUCGGCAAUGGGGGGAACCCUGACCGAGCAACGCCGCGUGAGUGAAGAAGGUUUUCGGAUCGUAAAGCUCUGUUGUAAGAGAAGAACGGGUGUGAGAGUGGAAAGUUCACACUGUGACGGUAUCUUACCAGAAAGGGACGGCUAACUACGUGCCAGCAGCCGCGGUAAUACGUAGGUCCCGAGCGUUGUCCGGAUUUAUUGGGCGUAAAGCGAGCGCAGGCGGUUAGAUAAGUCUGAAGUUAAAGGCUGUGGCUUAACCAUAGUAUGCUUUGGAAACUGUUUAACUUGAGUGCAGAAGGGGAGAGUGGAAUUCCAUGUGUAGCGGUGAAAUGCGUAGAUAUAUGGAGGAACACCGGUGGCGAAAGCGGCUCUCUGGUCUGUAACUGACGCUGAGGCUCGAAAGCGUGGGGAGCAAACAGG
rnacentral:rRNA from 1 species